UACGUAGGGCGCAAGCGUUGUCCGGAAUUAUUGGGCGUAAAGAGCUCGUAGGCGGUCUGUCGCGUCUGCCGUGAAAACCCGAGGCUUAACCUCGGGCUGGCGGUGGAUACGGGCAGACUAGAGGUAGGUAGGGGAGAAUGGAAUUCCCGGUGUAGCGGUGAAAUGCGCAGAUAUCGGGAGGAACACCAAUGGCGAAGGCAGCUCGCUGGGACGUUACUGACACUGAGGCGCGAAAGCGUGGGGAGCGAACAGG
rnacentral:rRNA from 1 species